rnacentral:rRNA from 1 species
UCCGGCGUUGAAUCCAAUUGGUGGCGGACACAUAAAAAAGGGCAUAAUCCGGCGGGAUCAACCGGAAUAUGCCUAAGGACGGGGCUGCGGCCGAUCAGGCUGUUGGUGAGGUAAUGGCUCACCAAACCUUUGACCGGUACGGGCCAUGAGAGUGGUAGCCCGGAGAUGGACACUGAGACAAGGGUCCAGGCCCUAAGGGGCGCAGCAACCGCGAAACCUCCACAAUGCACUCACGUGCGAUGGGGCUAUCUCGAGUGCCACCUGAUGAAGGUGGCUUUUCCUAGGUCUUCAAAGCCUUGGGAAUAAGAGGGGGGCAAGACUGGUGUCAGCCGCCGCGGUAACACCAGCCCCUCGAGUGGUGGGGAUGAUUAUUUGGCCUAAAGCGUCCGUAGCCGGCCGAGUAAGUCUUCCGUUAAAUCCAACGUCUCAAGCGUUGGACCGCGGGAGAUACUACACGGCUAGAGAGUGGGAGAGGUCAGCGGUAUUCUGGGGGUAAGGGCGAAAUCUUUUGAUCCCCGGAGGACCACCAGUGGCGAAGGCUGCUGACUAGAACACGUCUGACGGUCAGGGACGAAAGCUGGGGUAGCGAACCGGAUUAGAUACCCGGGUAGUCCCAGCCGUAAACGAUGCAUGCUAGGUGUUGGGUUGGCCACGAGCCACCCCAGUGCCGCAGGGAAGCCGUUAAGCAUGCCGCCUGGGAAGUACGAUCGCAAGGUUGAAACUUAAAGGAAUUGGCGGGGGAGCACCACCAGGCGUGAAGCCUGCGGUUUAAUUGGAGUCAACGCCGGGAAAUCACUAGUGAAUUC